rnacentral:rRNA from 1 species
GCGAGUCGAGCGUCUCUAGCUAUGUUGAGACGCGGCAGACGGCUCAGUAACACGUGGCUAACCUACCCUCAGGACGAGGAUAAACCCGGGAAACUGGGGCUAAUACUCGAUAGGUGAGAAUGUCUGGAAUGAUUUCUCAUUCAAAGGGCUUUAGAAACAUGCUUCUAAAGUCGCCUGGGGAUGGGGCCGCGUCCGAUCAGGUUGUCGGUGAGGUAACGGCUCACCAAGCCUAUAACCGGUACGGGCCGUGAGAGCGGUAGCCCGGAGAUGGGUACUGAGACAAGGACCCAGGCCCUACGGGGCGCAGCAGUCGCGAAAACUCCGCAAUGCACGAAAGUGUGACGGGGCUACCCCGAGUGCCAUCCGCUGAGGAUGGCUUUUCUUUGGUGUAACUAGCCGGGGGAAUAAGGAGAGGGCAAGACUGGUGUCAGCCGCCGCGGUAAUACCAGCUCUCCGAGUGGUAGGGAUGAUUAUUGGGCUUAAAGCGUCCGUAGCCGGCUUAGCAAUUCUCCUGUUAAAUUCAGCGACCUAAUCGUUGAGCCGCGGGAGAUACUACUAGGCUAGGAGGCGGGAGAGGUCGACGGUACUUCUGGGGUAGGGGUGAAAUCCUAUAAUCCCGGGAGGACCACCAGUGGCGAAGGCUGUUGACUAGAACGCGCUCGACGGUGAGGGGCGAAAGCUGGGGGAGCGAACCGGAUUAGAUACCCGGGUAGUCCCAGCCGUAAACGAUGC